rnacentral:rRNA from 1 species
UACGAAGGGGGCAAGCGUUGUUCGGAAUUACUGGGCGUAAAGGGCGCGUAGGCGGCUUAUCAAGUCAGGCGUGAAAUUCCCGGGCUCAACCUGGGGGCUGCGCUUGAUACUGAUGAGCUUGAAUGCGGGAGAGGAUAGUGGAAUUCCCAGUGUAGAGGUGAAAUUCGUAGAUAUUGGGAAGAACACCGGUGGCGAAGGCGGCUAUCUGGCCCGUAAUUGACGCUGAGGCGCGAAAGCGUGGGGAGCAGACAGG